rnacentral:rRNA from 1 species
GACGAAGGGGCUAGCGUUGUUCGGAAUUACUGGGCGUAAAGCGAGUGUAGGUGGUUGUCCAAGUUGGAUGUGAAAGCCUUGAGCUCAACUCAAGAAAUGCAUUCAGGACUGGGCGGCUAGAGGACCGGAGAGGAUAGUGGAAUUCCAGUGUAGUGGUGAAAUACGUAGAGAUUGGAAGAACACCAGUGGCGAAGGCGGCUAUCUGGACGGUUUCUGACACUAAGACU